rnacentral:rRNA from 1 species
UGCCUCAGUAACGGCGAGUGAAGCGGCAACAGCUCAAAUUUGAAAUCUGGCUCCUUUCGGAGUCCGAGUUGUAAUUUGCAGAAGAUGCUUCGAGUGUGGUUCCGGUCUAAGUUCCUUGGAACAGGACGUCACAGAGGGUGAGAAUCCCGUACGUGGCUGGAGGCCUACGCUCAUGUGAAGCUCUUUCGACGAGUCGAGUUGUUUGGGAAUGCAGCUCUAAAUGGGUGGUAAAUUUCAUCUAAAGCUAAAUAUUGGCCAGAGACCGAUAGCGCACAAGUAGAGUGAUCGAAAGAUGAAAAGCACUUUGGAAAGAGAGUUAAAUAGUACGUGAAAUUGUUGAAAGGGAAGCGCUUGCAACCAGACUUGCGCGUCGUCAAUCAUCUGGUGUUCUCACCGGUGCGCUUGGCGACGCUCAGGCCAGCAUCAGUUUUGGUGGUUGGAUAAAGGCCCUGGGAAUGUGGCUCUCUCCGGGGAGUGUUAUAGCCCAGGGUGCAAUGCAGCCUACCGAGACUGAGGACCGCGCUUCGGCUAGGAUGCUGGCGUAAUGGUUGUAAGCGACCCGUCUUGAAACACGGACCAAGGAGUCUAACAUCUAUGCGAGUGUUUGGGUGUCAAACCCAUGCGCGUAAUGAAAGUGAACGGAGGUGAGAGCCCUUAAGGGUGCAUCAUCGACCGAUCCUGAUGUCUUCGGAUGGAUUUGAGUAAGAGCAUAGCUGUUGGGACCCGAAAGAUGGUGAACUAUGCCUGAAUAGGGUGAAGCCAGAGGAAACUCUGGUGGAGGCUCGCAGCGGUUCUGACGUGCAAAUCGAUCGUCAAAUUUGGGUAUAGGG